rnacentral:rRNA from 1 species
UACAGAGGUCUCAAGCGUUGUUCGGAUUCAUUGGGCGUAAAGGGUUCGUAGGCGGCGCGGUAAGUCGGAUGGGAAAUCUCGGAGCUUAACUUCGAAACUGCAUUCGAUACUGCCGUGCUUGAGGACUGGAGAGGAGACUGGAAUUUACGGUGUAGCGGUGAAAUGCGUAGAUAUCGUAAGGAAGCCCAGUGGCGAAGGCGGGUCUCUGGACAGUUCCUGACGCUGAGGCACUAAGGUCAGGGGAGCAAACGGG